CGAAGGCAGCUUUCCAGUCCUUAACUGACGCUAAAGCUCGAAAGUGCGGGUAUCGAACAGGAUUAGAUACCCUGGUAGUCCGCACGGUAAACGAUGGAUGCCCGCUGUUGGCGAUAUAAUGUCAGCGGCCAAGCGAAAGCGUUAAGCAUCCCACCUGGGGAGUACGCCGGCAACGGUGAAACUCAAAGGAAUUGACGGGGGCCCGCACAAGCGGAGGAACAUGUGGUUUAAUUCGAUGAUACGCGAGGAACCUUACCCGGGCUUGAACUGCAGCUGAACGAUCCAGAGAUGGUGAGGCCCUUCGGGGCAGCUGUGGAGGUGCUGCAUGGUUGUCGUCAGCUCGUGCCGUGAGGUGUCGGCUUAAGUGCCAUAACGAGCGCAACCCUUUUCAUUAGUUGCCAUCAGGUUAUGCUGGGCACUCUGGUGAUACUGCCACCGUAAGGUGUGAGGAAGGUGGGGAUGACGUCAAAUCAGCACGGCCCUUACGUCCGGGGCUACACACGUGAACAAUGGGGGGUACAGAGAGUUGGUAGUUAGCAAAUGCGAUAUAAUCCUUAAAGCCAUCCUCAGUUCGGAUUGGGGUCUGCAACCCGACCCCAG
rnacentral:rRNA from 1 species